UAGUCAAGAGAUUUGUCCAUCUAAUUCAUCAUACUACUCUGAUCCAAGUGAGACCCACACUGGGUCAGCUCCAUCAAGGAGAAGAACAUUCCACCCACGUUUGGAUUCUGGAAUAUCAUCCUUGCUUCCAUCAGAUUCUUGUAAGUACCUCACUUGGCACAAGGUAGACAUGACGUUCAAGGAAGUCAACUGCGUUGCCCAAGAGUAAGAGAAGGAAUCUCUGAAGAAGAGCAACUUUUCAGACAGGUAGAGUGUGCCUUGCUCCCAAGGAAAAGAGUUCUUGAAAAAAACAAAUGGGAAACAUGGCUACAAGAAAACUGGGAAGACUGCAAGAAAAUCUCAGAAUCUGCUUGAGAAUCCGGUCCUUCUUCCUCCAUACACCCAUGGAACACUCCCAAACUCUGUAUGCUGCUCACUAAUUCUGAUUAAGGUCUUCACCCUCCCUACCUUGGAAAUUGCUACAACAUAAUUGUGUUUGUAUGUAUAAUUAAUAUAUACAAUACAUUUUAAAUGAAUAACUAAAGUUGACAAAAACCUC
rnacentral:lncRNA from 1 species